CCUACGGGGGGCAGCCGUGAGGAAUAUUGGUCAAUGGACGAGAGUCUGAACCAGCCACGUAGCGUGAAGGAUGACUGCCCUAUGGGUUGUAAACUUCUUUUAUAUGGGAAUAAAAUGUUCCACGUGUGGGAUUUUGUAUGUACCAUAUGAAUACGGAUCGGCCAACUCCGUGCCAGCAGCCGCGGUAAUACGGAGGCUCCGAGCGGUAUCCGUAUUUAUUUGGUUUAAAUGGAGCGUAGGGGGGAUGGUAAGUCAGGUGUUAAAUGUUGCGGGUCAACCGUAAAAUUGCAAUUGAAACUGGCAGUCUUGAGUACAGUAGAGGUGGGCGGAAUUCGUGGUGUAGCGGUGAAAUGCUUAGAUAUCACGAAGAACUCCGAUGGCGAAGGCAGUUAACUGGACUGCAACUGACACUGAGGCUCGAAAGUGUGGGUAUCAAACAGGAUUAGAUACCCCGGUAGUA
rnacentral:rRNA from 1 species